GUCACCUCUGUGCAAAGAAACCCACAGUAAAGUGCAGUCCACUGGCGUGCAAUGACACACACACGCGGACACACAGGAGGAAAAAAAAGCUUCUUUCUCUUUUUUUUCACCCCCCAGCCCUCCGUGCUCUCCUGUGAAGCGCGCUCAUGUGCACGCGUUCACGUUUGGCAGCUCCACGUCGACAUUCUUCCAGCUGCAUUGAGUCAACUGCACGCAGCACUCGCAGGCGGCCAGGCAGAAGAAAAGGUAAAACGACGGCGACCGAGCCAGCAGCCACCUCACGUCUUCAAUCGCUUUUGCACGUCAGCACAUCAAGUGCAGCAAAGAAAGAGUGGCUUUGCAUCGCUCCCUCGAGGUGGCCCUGCAACGUUCUCACUUGGCUGCUUUUCGUUGCAUUUUUAGAAGCAGACUGUUUGGCUCCUUGCAGCUGACCGCAUAUGUCUACCUCUCAGGUCAAAGGGAUCUCCAUGUUACUCUGCUGGAUGAAGACAAACCUAUGAGGUGGCACUGUGGCUUUCCAAAUAAAGUUCUGUGAUACACUCAGACUCUCACUGCUCGCAGUCAGUGCAUUACAGAACUUUGUUUUGGAAGUUAAAUCUUACGGGGCCAUAAGGAAGAUAAGUCCUCAAGCAUCUGGAUAUUUUAUACACUUUUUCAGUUUAUUUUCUGAAAUAAAGGUCCUUUGCAUGUUCA